GAGUUUGAUCCUGGCUCAGGACGAACGCUGGCGGCGUGCCUAACACAUGCAAGUCGAGCGAUGAAAAAGAAGUAGAUCUCUUCGGAGUGACGCCUCUUUGGAUUAGCGGCGGACGGGUGAGUAACACGUGAGCAACCUGCCGUACACAUUGGGAUAGCCUCGGGAAACUGGGAUUAAUACCAAACGAAACAUAUUGAUAGCAUUAUCAAAAUGUCAAAGAUUUAUCGGUGUACGAUGGGCUCGCGUCUGAUUAGCUAGUUGGUGAGAUAAAAGCUCACCAAGGCAAUGAUCAGUAGCCGGCCUGAGAGGGUGAUCGGCCACAUUGGGACUGAGACACGGCCCAAACUCCUACGGGAGGCAGCAGUGGGGAAUAUUGCACAAUGGAGGGAACUCUGAUGCAGCGACGCCGCGUGAGCGAAGAAGGAAUUCGUUUCGUAAAGCUCUGUCCUAUGGGAAGAUAAUGACGGUACCAUAGAAGAAAGCCCCGGCUAACUACGUGCCAGCAGCCGCGGUAAUACGUAGGGGGCGAGCGUUGUCCGGAAUUAUUGGGCGUAAAGGGUUCGUAGGCGGUAAUACAUGUCAGUUGUGAAAUCUUGUGGCUUAAACACAUCAAGCAUCU
rnacentral:rRNA from 1 species